GACGAACGCUGGCGGCGUGCUUAACACAUGCAAGUCGAACGGAAAGGCCCUGCUUUUGUGGGGUGCUCGAGUGGCGAACGGGUGAGUAACACGUGAGUAACCUGCCCUUGACUUUGGGAUAACUUCAGGAAACUGGGGCUAAUACCGGAUAGGAGCUCCUGCUGCAUGGUGGGGGUUGGAAAGUUUCGGCGGUUGGGGAUGGACUCGCGACUUAUCAGCUUGUUGGUGGGGUAGUGGCUUACCAAGGCUUUGACGGGUAGCCGGCCUGAGAGGGUGACCGGCCACAUUGGGACUGAGAUACGGCCCAGACUCCUACGGGAGGCAGCAGUGGGGAAUAUUGCACAAUGGGCGGAAGCCUGAUGCAGCAACGCCGCGUGCGGGAUGGCGGCCUUCGGGUUGUAAACCGCUUUCGCCUGUGACGAAGCGUGAGUGACGGUAAUGGGUAAAGAAGCACCGGCUAACUACGUG
rnacentral:rRNA from 1 species